CGUACAUGUAUUCAUGCUAGCACGCGACACUGCCGGUUACUCCUAAGUGCUUCUCCCAGCAACCACUUUAAUACUUUGAAGUAGGACUACUAGACAACCCUGCCUGCAGACCCGUACGGCAUGACCUGUAUACAUGUUGCACACAUUCAUGCUGUACUACAUUACAUUGAUUCCUAUAGCCCGUUCCUCAUCACUAACUCUUUUGAUUACUAGUUCUAAGAUAUCUUCCGCUUCUCUUCUUCUGCCAGAUGUCUUCCCAGAAUCCAUGUCCUAGCUCGCACACAGUCAAAUGGCUUUUCCAACCGCUGUCCUCUUAGUAACCUUCACGCCCAAUUACCCUGCCUGCCAUUCACAUUAGUUUCCUUCAUACUGUUAGAUUGCAUUCCUGUUACCUAAUGGUUGCUCGCUACUUAGGUCCAUUCUUCCUCCAACCUAUUCCUUUCACGUUAUCUCCUUGUACGUCUUCUCCUUGCACUACUACUUUCUCCCCUUGCCAUGUAUAUGCUGUCUAUGCUAUAUAAGCCCUAUCUGCUCUACCAGAGAAUUAGCUCAUAGCAGAGAAGAGAGUCCCUCCAGGCAGAUUGAGCCGGAGCAGUUAUAUUCCGUUCAGAGUCCCUCCUGGCAGAUUGAGCCGGAGCAGUUAUAUUCCGUUCAGAGUCCCUCCUGGCAGAUUGAGCCGGAGCAGUUGUAACCAUAACUUCAGGCAGAUUGAGCCAAGAAACCUA